rnacentral:rRNA from 1 species
UACGUAGGGUGCGAGCGUUAAUCGGAAUUACUGGGCGUAAAGCGUGCGCAGGCGGUUUUGUAAGCCAGAUGUGAAAUCCCCGGGCUUAACCUGGGAAUGGCAUUUGGGACUGCAAGGCUGGAGUGCGGCAGAGGAGACUGGAAUUCCUGGUGUAGCAGUGAAAUGCGUAGAUAUCAGGAGGAAUACCGAUGGCGAAGGCAGGUCUCUGGGCUGACACUGACGCUCCUGCACGAAAGCGUGGGGAGCAAACAGG